CGAUAAUGUGUUAUUGUAAUUGAGUUUUCGUUAUCACUUAUGGUUGUGUUACCACACAUUAAUUAUAUUUAACCACUUUGAUAACGGGAAUAUGGCCGAUGGGGGAGGAGCUAUUGCCCUUUCAGCCCCCCUCUCUUGGCUACGCGACUGUAAAAAUCUUACACUCCUUUUUAAAAAUCCUGGUUGCGUCAUUGUACUUACAACCUAUAGGAAAUCUAGAUGUAUGUCAAAUCUGGUAUA